CCCAGACAGAAGCAUGGAUGGAUGCUCCUGAGGAUCCAGAUGGGACAAGACUCUGUUGGGGAUCCGACUAGGGAACAUUUGUACUGCAUUCUGACAAUUCUUUGUCUAAAUUCUACCCACGCCCUGAAAAUUUGAGUGAGGAUGAACAUAAAGGGAGAAGUCAAACUGGUGCCUCACUAGAAGCUUCACACCUACUGGGUAGUAUUCAUGGUUCUGUGUGGUGCUCAGCAUGCUCCUGGAAGAGAAAGGUCUUACAAGUCUACACAGAAGAGGAGCAGAAAGAUUGCAAGAGCCAGACGUGAUGAAUGACUC